UACAGAGGGUGCGAGCGUUGUUCGGAAUUAUUGGGCGUAAAGGGCGCGUAGGCGGCGCCACAAGUCACUUGUGAAAACUCUGGGCUCAACUCAGAGCCUGCAAGCGAAACUGUGGUGCUGGAGUAUGGGAGAGGUGCGUGGAAUUCCCGGUGUAGCGGUGAAAUGCGCAGAUAUCAGGAGGAACACCGGUGGCGAAGGCGGGUCUCUGGGCAAUAACUGACGCUGAGGAGCGAAAGCGUGGGGAGCGAACAGG
rnacentral:rRNA from 1 species